rnacentral:rRNA from 1 species
UUGAACGAGAGUUUUAAACUUUAGUGGCGGACGGGUGAGUAACACGUGAGAAUUUACCUUUAGGAGGGGAAUAACAGUUGGAAACGACUGCUAAUGCCGCAUAUCAUAUACAUAUGAAAGAAGAAAUUCGCCUAAAGAAAAGCUUGCGUCUGAUUAGCUAGUUGGUAAGGGUAAUGGCCUACCAAGGCGACGAUCAGUAGCUGGUUUGAGAGGAUGAUCAGUCACACUGGAACUGAGACACGGUCCAGACUCCUACGGGAGGCAGCAGUGGGGAAUUUUCUGCAAUGGGCGAAAGCCUGACAGAGCAAUACCGCGUGAGGGAAGAAAGCCCACAGGGUUGUAAACCUCUUUUGUCAAGGAAGAAGUUCUGACGUUACUUGACGAAUAAGCAUCGGCUAACUCCGUGCCAGCAGCCGCGGUAAGACGGAGGAUGCAAGUGUUAUCCGGAAUCACUGGGCGUAAAGCGUUUGUAGGUGGUUUAGUAAGUCUAUUAUUAAAGCUUGAAGCUUAACUUCAAAAGUGUAAUAGAAACUACUAGACUAGAGGAUAGUAGGGGUAAAGGGAAUUUCCAGUGGAGCGGUGAAAUGCGUAGAGAUUGGAAGGACCACCGAUGGCGAAGGCACUUUACUGGGCUAUUUCUGACACUAAGAGACGAAAGCUAGGGGAGCGAAUGGGAUUAGAUACCCCAGUAGUCCUAGCUGUAAACGAUGGAUACUAGAUGUUGUGUGUAUCGAUCCAUGCAGUAUCGUAGCUAACGCGUUAAGUAUCCCGCCUGGGAAUUAUGCUCGCAAGAGUGAAACUCAAAG